GACGAACGCUGGCGGCGUGCCUAAUACAUGCAAGUCGAGCGAGCGGAACCAACAGAUUUACUUCGGUAAUGACGUUGGGAAAGCGAGCGGCGGAUGGGUGAGUAACACGUGGGGAACCUGCCCCUAAGUCUGGGAUACCAUUUGGAAACAGGUGCUAAUACCGGAUAAUAAAGCAGAUCGCAUGAUCAGCUUUUGAAAGGCGGCGUAAGCUGUCGCUAAGGGAUGGCCCCCGCGGUGCAUUAGCUAGUUGGUAAGGUAACGGCUUACCAAGGCGACGAUGCAUAGCCGAGUUGAGAGACUGAUCGGCCACAUUGGGACUGAGACACGGCCCAAACUCCUACGGGAGGCAGCAGUAGGGAAUCUUCCACAAUGGACGCAAGUCUGAUGGAGCAACGCCGCGUGAGUGAAGAAGGUUUUCGGAUCGUAAAGCUCUGUUGUUGGUGAAGAAGGAUAGAGGUAGUAACUGGCCUUUAUUGACGGUAAUCAACCAGAAAGUCACGG
rnacentral:rRNA from 1 species